UACGUAGGGUGCGAGCGUUGUCCGGAAUUACUGGGCGUAAAGAGCUCGUAGGUGGUUUGUCGCGUUGUCCGUGAAAACUCACAACUCAAUUGUGGGCGUGCGGGCGAUACGGGCAGACUGGAGUACUGCAGGGGAGACUGGAAUUCCUGGUGUAGCGGUGGAAUGCGCAGAUAUCAGGUGGAACACCCGUAGCGAAGGCGGCAUUCUGGGCCGAUACUGACGCUGAGGAGCGAAAGCGUGGGGAGCGAACAGG
rnacentral:rRNA from 1 species